rnacentral:rRNA from 1 species
GAAGCUGAUGGUUCACGCCGCGUGCAGGAUGAAGGCCUUCGGGUCGUAAACUGCUUUUAUGGGUGAAGAAUGUGACUGUAACCCAUGAAUAAGCACCGGCUAACUACGUGCCAGCAGCCGCGGUCAUACGUAGGGUGCAAGCAUUAUCCGGAGUGACUGGGCGUAAAGAGUUGCGUAGGUGGUUUUAUAAGCGAAUAGUGAAAUCUGAAGGCUCAACCUUACAGACUGUUAUUCGAACUGUAAAACUCGAGAAUGGUAGAGGUAACUGGAAUUUCUAGUGUAGGAGUGAAAUCCGUAGAUAUUAGAAGGAACACCGAUGGCGUAGGCAGGUUACUGGACCAUUUCUGACACUAAGGCACGAAAGCGUGGGGAGCGAACCGGAUUAGAUACCCGGGUAGUCCACGCCGUAAACGAUGGAUACUAGCUGUUGGAGGUAUCGACCCCUUCAGUAGCGAAGCUAACGCGUUAAGUAUCCCGCCUGUGGAGUACGGUCGCAAGACUAAAACAUAAAGGAAUUGACGGGGACCCGCACAAGCGGUGGAGCGUGUUCUUUAAUUCGAUGCUAAACGAAGAAACUUACCAGUGCUUGACAUCCCUUGAAUUUUGUCGAAAGACGAGAGUGCUUUAUUGAGCAAGGUGACAGGUGAUGCAUGGG